AUUGAACGCUGGCGGCAGGCCUAACACAUGCAAGUCGGGCGGAUGAAGGGAGCUUGCUCCUGGAUUCAGCGGCGGACGGGUGAGUAAUGCCUAGGAAUCUGCCUGGUAGUGGGGGAUAACGUCCGGAAACGGGCGCUAAUACCGCAUACGUCCUGAGGGAGAAAGUGGGGGAUCUUCGGACCUCACGCUAUCAGAUGAGCCUAGGUCGGAUUAGCUAGUUGGUGGGGUAAAGGCCUACCAAGGCGACGAUCCGUAACUGGUCUGAGAGGAUGAUCAGUCACACUGGAACUGAGACACGGUCCAGACUCCUACGGGAGGCAGCAGUGGGGAAUAUUGGACAAUGGGCGAAAGCCUGAUCCAGCCAUGCCGCGUGUGCGAAGAAGGUCUUCGGAUUGUAAAGCACUUUAAGUUGGGAGGAAGGGCAGUAAGUUAAUACCUUGCUGUUUUGACGUUACCAACAGAAUAAGCACCGGCUAACUUCGUG
rnacentral:rRNA from 1 species